rnacentral:rRNA from 1 species
UAACACGUAACCAAUCUACCUUACCGUCCGGGAUAACUAGCCGAAAGGUUAGCUAAUACCUGAUACGAUCGUCGAGCGGCAUCGCUUGACGCUGAAAGCAGUAAUGCGCGGUUUGAGGGGGCUGCGGCCCAUUAGCUAGUUGGUGAGGUAACGGCCCACCAAGGCUCCGAUGGGUAGCUGGUCUGAGAGGACGACCAGCCACACUGGGACUGAGACACGGCCCAG